rnacentral:tRNA from 1 species
AGUGCGUUAGUUCAGUUGGUUAGAAUGCCAGAUUGUCACUCUGGUGGUCACGGGUUCGAAUCCCGUACGCACUG